CCAGUUGUCCUAACACCAUUUGUUAAAAAGACUAUUCUUUCGAUUACUUGAAACCAGAAGUUUGAGGCUGCAGUGAGCUAUCAUUACACCACUAGACUCCAACCUAGGCAACAGAGCAAGACUCUGUCUCUAAAUAAUAAAAAUAAAAAUAAAAUGAAGUGUGUUUUUUGUAGAUAGCAUAUAGUUGGAUCAUGAUUUUUAAAAAAAAUCAAUUUGCCAAUCUCUACCUUCUGAUUGGAGUAUUUAAUUCAUUUGCAUUUAAUGAAAUUACUGAUAAGGCAGGAUUUAUCUACCAUUUUACUGUUGGUUUCUUUAGGCCUCUUGCCUUUUUUUUCUCCUCUAUUUUUCAUUACUUCCUUCUCUUUUCUUAUAUAUUUUCUAGUGUAACAUUUCUGUUUCCUUGUCAUUUUUUACUAUAUAUUUAAAAUUAUUUACUUAGUGGCUGGUGUGUCUUGAGGUGGA
rnacentral:lncRNA from 10 species